GGGCCAGACGCCAGACUAGAAGUCCCGGGCCGCGGUUCCGUGGGUUCCGCGUCCACCGGACUCUCAGCUGACCGGCCACGGUGUUCCUGUACGCGCCGAGCACGCGGUGCAGUUUUUAGACAUACGUCAUAUCCUCGGAGAACAGCCAGGUGGAAGGACAGAAGCUGCAGUGGAAUCACGCUCAGGAUGCCCUGAAGGCAGUCCACAGUGUGGGGCAGCUCAAUCAUCUUAUACGCAAACUUGGAACUUUCAGUAUCGUCCUUGGAGCACAAUAUGAUGGGGCGACCCUAGAGUAGAGAAAUAGGAUCAUAAAAUAGAUCAUCUCUGAAAGACGCAAUCCCUGACGCACGCGGCAUAUCUGGAAGCUACAUUACUGUGAUGAGAACAGUCCUCUUUUGUAUUUGCUGGAUCAUAGGUGAGGUGGUAUGUGUGGGACACAAAUGCUUGGAAAGGACAAAGUGUCUGAUGCUUUUUGGUGUGUUUCUGCCCUUUCCCUGGUAAGGACAUCGCCAUCCUGCUGCAUCAUUUGGCACCCAUUUGUACCUUGCCGAGAGUAGGGCAGACUCACUCCUAACUCUAGUGGGGCUCAUAGUCUAGUGGUGGAAAACAAAAACCUAGACAAGCAAACCAAUAAAUAAAGAUGAAUUCCAAAGAAAUGCCACCAAGGCAAGAAAACAGGAUAAUCACAUACUGUGAUUGAGAGACUGGUGAGGUCUCUGAAGCUCUCUCAAAACAAGAGUCAUCUGAAUUGAGCCCUACAUGAUGAGGGGCCAACUCAGCAAAGCAUUCUGUGGGAAGGGCAUCCCAGACAGCAGGAACAGCCAGCGCAAAGGCCUGGAGGCAGGCUUGCGCACAGCACGAGUGGGAAACAAAGAAAGCUUGAGUGCCUGGAACUCUGAAACGAGGAAAGGGCCAGAUGACGCAGGCCUGUGGGCCUCUGUGGCUUGACACAGGCCUGUGGGAGGGUUUUCAGUGAGGAAAUAAUGCAACUGUGAUUUAUACCCUCAGUCUGACCACGGUACUGAGCUAGGUGUGGCAGCAUCUGGAUGGGGCACCUUGUUGGAUUUCAACCUUCCUGAAACUUCAUGAACACUGCCCUCCCACCUCAGGGCGGCUGCUGUGUACAAAGCAUCUGGUUGGUCUUUGUGGCUGGUUUCAGGGAGGGAGCUCCUAGCCUCUGGACUUUCCCAUGUGAUAGACACAUCUUUGUUAUCUAUGAAGGAUCCCUUGGACUAUACCUGACUUUAUGCUCAGGAGGUACUCAUGUUGUGCCUGCAUAGUUCCAGGAUGGGGUCUCACCCUGCCAGAAAGGCCAGCCACAUGAUUAGAGGGUUACGGCUUUGAGACACGAGCCAGUCAGCCUGACCUCCCAACCUCCAAGGACAAAAGUGGGGCUGGUCACUGAAUUCAAUCAUAUGGCCAGUGGUUCACUCCAUCCUGCCACUUAAUAAAACCUCAAUACAAACUCUGGACACUGAAGCUAGCAGCUCACGGGAGCUUCCUGGUGAUACACAGUGAUGUGCGGGAGAGUGACACAUCCUAAGGACACAAGCUUCACAUUUGGGGCCCUCACACUAUGGGUUCCUUUUUCUGGGUUGCCUGUGAUUUUUGUCUUUUAUAAUAAAACUGUAAUAGUAUAGUGA